rnacentral:rRNA from 1 species
UGCAUAUCAAAAAAGCGGAGGAAAAGAAACCAACAGGGAUUGCCUCAGUAACGGCGAGUGAAGCGGCAAAAGCUCAAAUUUGAAAUCUAGCACCUUCGGUGUUUGAGUUGUAAUUUGAAGAUGGUAACCUUGGGUUUGGCUCUUGUCUAUGUUCCUUGGAACAGGACGUCAUAGAGGGUGAGAAUCCCGUCUGAUGAGAUGCCCAUUCCUAUGUAAGGUGCUAUCGAAGAGUCGAGUUGUUUGGGAAUGCAGCUCUAAGUGGGUGGUAAAUUCCAUCUAAAGCUAAAUAUUGGCGAGAGACCGAUAGCGAACAAGUACAGUGAUGGAAAGAUGAAAAGAACUUUGAAAAGAGAGUGAAAAAGUACGUGAAAUUGUUGAAAGGGAAGGGCAUUAGAUCAGACUUGGUGUUUUACGAUUAUCUUCUCUUCUUGAGUUGUGCACUCGUAUUUCACUGGGCCAGCAUCGAUUCGGAUGGCAAGAUAAUGGCAGUUGAAUGUGGCUUCACUUCGGUGGAGUGUUAUAGCUUCUGCUGAUAUUGCCUGUCUGGAUCGAGGGCUGCGUCUUUGACUAGGAUGCCCUGGCC